GUGCUGUAGAACAAUGUGACUCAGUGGGUCUGUGGCGUUUGCCCCUUUGCGGAUGUUUAUUUUUCCUCCUCCCUAUCCAAAUCUCCCGAGUCCUUUCCUGCUCCGGCUUUCGUUAUGUUAUGACCACGGUGUACGAGUAUUUCUGUAAAACUCGGUUCGUAUUUUAUUUGUCGAACGCGUCGGGCCAGAGUUCAAAGGAUUGCGAGUGUAAGACAUCUGGCGUCGUUAUCGGUCGACGAUCAAGACGACCGCUUUUUGCGUUCAUACGGCUAAAGGCUCGGUCCGAAG